UACGUAGGGUGCGAGCGUUGUCCGGAAUUACUGGGCGUAAAGAGCUCGUAGGCGGUUUGUCGCGUCGUCCGUGAAAACUUGGGGCUCAACCCCAAGCUUGCGGGCGAUACGGGCAGACUUGAGUACUGCAGGGGAGACUGGAAUUCCUGGUGUAGCGGUGAAAUGCGCAGAUAUCAGGAGGAACACCGGUGGCGAAGGCGGGUCUCUGGGCCGAUACUGACACUGAGGCACGAAGGCCAGGGGAGCAAACGGG
rnacentral:rRNA from 1 species